GUGCUUGCUUCUUUAGCACAGAUACUACAAUUAGAAUAAUACAGAGAAGAUUAGCAUGGGCCCUGCACAGGAUGACACACAAAUUCUUGAAGAGUUACUUUCUUGC